UACGUAGGGUGCAAGCGUUAAUCGGAAUUACUGGGCGUAAAGCGUGCGCAGGCGGUUUUGUAAGUUUGUCGUGAAAGCCCCGGGCUCAACCUGGGAAUUGCAUCUGUGACUGCAUCGCUAGAGUACGGUAGAGGGGGAUGGAAUUCCGCGUGUAGCAGUGAAAUGCGUAGAUAUGCGGAGGAACACCGAUGGCGAAGGCAGGUCUCUGGGCCGAUACUGACGCUGAGGAGCGAAAGCGUGGGGAGCGAACAGG
rnacentral:rRNA from 1 species